UCCCAUCCCGCCAAACUUUUCGAAUUUUCCUUUAGCUCAAAGGAAGGAACCUGAACCAACAAAACGCUCUUGUUCCUUUCAUCCUUUGAGAUCGUAGUCGGUCUAAACGUGCAUCCCUUUGCGACUGAUUUCCGAACACAAGAAUCGAAUUGCCCUACUUGCAACUUGUCCAAAUCAAUGGUCAACCUGGAGUCAGGAAAGUUAAAGAACUUUCCCCCUCCAACAACGUCAACGACCCUAGUGAAUUCCGCUUCUUCGCGGAAAGUAGAGACAGUCGACACGAAAAAUUCCUUGACGUUAUGGAUGAAAUACCCAUGUACCCAUGUAGCUUUGACCGAAGCGUUAUCGCGUGUCCAAGACACCAACGUACGCGAAAAAGCAAAGCCGCCACGUUCCGCCAUUCCGAACAAAUAAAAGAAUUUCACGAUUAAAAACUUUACCUCGAAGGAAAUAAAAAGUAUAGAAUUGUAGUUUUAACUAGGAAAAAGUGAGUCGGCUUCUAUGUCGGAUGACAAUUCCCCUUGACCACUCGGUCAACGUGUUUCUUUUAGCACUUCACAUCAUUUAAGAUGAUUUUUGAAUUUAUAAACUUCUUCUAACACUUCUACAUCAUUUAGUUUUGAUUUUUAAUUUAUUAAGUUUUUCUAACACUUUUACAUCUAUGUUUCUUCCAACACUCGCGGAAUCACUGUAUUAUGAAACGUCUUACACUAACCGAAUCUAGAAUAGAACUGACUCGCUAUUUGUCCUCCUAGUCGCCGGCUAGCCUAUCUUCUACGAUCGACACUGGGAGCCGAUGACGGUGUGAAGAGUUUCCCACCAAAUUGUCAAUUGUGGAUGUUGGUUUUGGGGGAUAUGGUGUUGAAAAACGAUGUUUUGCUGUUAUCAGGAGCUACCUGAGCUGUGGUGCCUGUUGCUUUUCAGAUUGUUUUUGUGGGCAUUGGCAAAGUUGGUUUUAUUGUGCGAUGGUUGGUUGUCCAAUGUACUGGAAUCACGCUGCCCAGUCAUGUUAUUACACACGGUUUUGAAUGACUACCUAGUUGCUCUUGGUGACAACCACAUAUUACUUGUUACUCAAACGUCUUCCGUUGCUCCUCCCUGGAGCCACCAAUAAGGUUGCUUCCGGAAGCUAUUUUGUUCUUCAGUUAUGGAGAUCAGUUACCGCAAUGGGUCAACUGGGAUGACCUAGAGAAGCUUCUUCGAUUUUUGGAAAAAUUGCGUUCGAGGAUUAUCCUUUAUUUGCGCAAUUCUUCGUCCGCUAGGACCAUCAGCGUGGUACUUGUAAAGAGUUUCUUUGCCUUCUCUUGUAAAGCGUUGAUUGUUGGCUCGCUUGAGUGUUUGUCACCUGAGCAACUUGUUGAAUUAGCUGUUCGGGUGCAAUUUCUGUAAUCUGAUCUUGAGCAGAUGGGCCAUUGAUCAUUGAUUGGUUUAUGAAAUGUUUUUUCAGAUUGCUCUCUUUGAAGUUUGGUUGCAUUAUAAUGAUCUGAAGCGUGCGUACAUGCGGAGAAAGAGUAACUUGGUUUAUUAUUUCUUGUAAGAGCUGCGAUUGGGUCACUUCGUAGGUUUUCAUGAUACUAUUGGCGCAAGCCUUCAUAAUAUCGUCAAGUAUUACCUUUGCUCGGAUAUCCGAUAAUAUCGUAUCACAGUUUUGUUAGAAUUCCUCCACACUAAGAUUUCCUUGUUGUAGAUAAGGAAUCUUGCUGAGAAUUGUAGACAGAUCGUGAAUCUGUCCUUUAAGGUUUGUUUAAUAACGUCCCAAUCACAAGGGGUAUUACUAUUGAGAUCACUUUGUGAGGCAAAGAUUUUAGCUUAUUGCAGUUUUUGAUCGACUAAUGCGAUCCAUUCUGGUAAACUCUUUACAUCUUCAUCAUAACUCCUGUACUAAUUUUGAAAUGUCUGGUAUCCGAGACACGCGUACCACGCUAGCACGUCGUCUGAUUUCACUUUCUUCAUGAUGUUCUUCAGGCUCCGGCAAAACAAUGUCCAACCGUCACCACUUUCGCCGUUUCGUUAAGAUGUUUCACUAAAAGUUCAGCUGUUUGAAAGUCUUCGUAUCUCAGAGUGUUUGAGUCGAUGGCCAAUGCUAUCGUUUUAACAUGGAAACACUUUUCCAUUGCUCCGUACGCAAAGUAAUGGUUUUCUAGUUUUUUAAGGAAUGGUACAUAUGGUAGUAACUUUGCCCAUUUUCCUUCUUCCAUGGUGAUAAAAUAUUGUUCAGUUCGUUAAAAUGGCAAAUCGGGCUUUUACAACAUUAUCACUGUAUUCUUUUAAUUCCACUGCACAACCAUAUAUUACCAAUAUUAAUAAUAGCAAUGCAACUGAUGUAAGUGCUAUUGCGGUCACUACUGUGUUCAUCGUGUCACACGAUCGUGGAAAUAUUGCUCUUCAAUUUGCUUCUUCCGAUUUGCUUUUCCGCACGAAUGUCUACUUCUCUUCAAAGCCACUUCCAUAUAACGUAGAGGGUUAGUCCCACUACUAGAAUUAACAAACAUCCAGCUAUAAGAGACAGAGAUGUUUCGUUUUUACUUGGCGAAAUAACUGCACUUUGUUGGUUAUUAUUAACGAUAACCUCUUCUUGCGAUUAAGAACUACCGCCACCUAGACCGCCACCCAUAGUCUAAAGCUUUCUUCAUCACUUUUUCUGGAACUAUCACUUUUUUCUCAGGCUCUCAGCCUACGGUCGCCAUAACGCACUUUGUAUACUUACACUUUACUUCGGGUGUUGAAUCGCGGCUGUCAUCAGAACAGAGUACUCGGUAACUCCAAGUUGUUGACUGAAUCACAGAAUGUGAUCUGCUUUAUUGAACUUCCUUAUUUAUAUUCUGUAAAUCUACACAUGUUCUUAAAGUCUACACAAUAUAGUGAAUGGUUUUCAUGUGCGUAGCACAUGUUUUGGGUCUUAUGUUUAAUGUAUAAUGUCUGUGGGAAAAAGGUCAGCAAAACGGGAAUCGAAUUUCUGCGUGGGCAUGUACCACUUUGAGAUUAAUGAACUGUCGAACGAAAUGGGUAAGCUCUUGCGAAUGAUAUUGCACAGUGCGUGUAAAUUGAUAUUUCUGUUUGUUAACUCAGACGUUAGGCGCCUUGGUCAUGUAAGGUGUCAUAUUUCUGUUAAUCAUUGUAAUACUUGUUGAGUGCAAUGCUCUUGAGUAUGGCAAUGAUUUGCUGUUAUGGUUGUUUGGAAGAUAACCUGCUAAUUUAUGUUUCCUGCUACAGUACUCUUCACUGUCCUUUAGUUGUUCAAACUUCCGGUCGAUCUCCUGAAAGUAUUCCACUAGAUAGAUUUCCUCGAUCAAGAUGGACAUUCUGCACUUUUUUUUAUUACUUUGCUGUUUUCAACAACAGCAGCGCCUUAUUGUUCGUAUUAGAGAUUAUGAUGAAUCUCCUCUCUGGAGCCACCAUGUAAGUUUACGGUAUCGCAUAGUUCGAAACGAAUAUAGCGAAUAUAGCAAAUUGCGCGAACGAUCGCCUUAUUCCGACUAGCUUCAGUUCUCUAGCGAUAUCCGCUUCUAGUAGAGUUAGUGACGAGCUGUGUUCUAGGGAGGCAUAAGUACUUAUGACUUUAUCUUCGUUUCGUAAUGUUACAAGCAAUACAUGGUAAUGUACCGUUAUCGUUUUCACGUCAUUAUUACGAUUGUUCACCGAUCGUUGUUCAAUCGUGACUUCUUCUGUUGGAGGGUGGUGCAAUCGGUGAUGCCUUCUUGCACAUCCCUUGAUAUAACGCUCAGCAGUUUGUCUACGUUGAUUUUCUUCUUUGCUGGUGAGUCUUUUGCUGGUUUUAGCCACUGGCGCCCGCAUUAUUGUGCGUUGGUGGAAUUUCGUUGCUGUUCAUCAGCACUUCGUCACUUUUGCAAUCAUCGAGGUUGUUCUUCGUUUUAUUAGGCAACGAUACCGACACUGUUAUUUCUAUUCGUCCACUUUUUCAGCUUGUAACUUGUACUGUAACUCCCUUCACCCAUGGUACUCGUUGGGUACUCAAGUUCUCUGAAGUUAGGUUCGUUGCACUUACCUGGACUAGCAGCACCAACGAACGACUUACCCAGAGCCAACAACUGUGCUCGACACGGCCACCAGCCGCCACUUCUCCGUCGAAGGACCACGGCACUAUGCCGAACGCUAUAAACAACACGCUAUAAGCAUUCGUGCCGACAUUUAUACUAAGCAAAACAACGGGAUCUUUCUAACCUCGCUUUUCGUCAGCAGACAUUGCCGGGAUUCUUCGCCCACGGCAAACAAUACGCUGCAAGCGUUCGAUCUGACAUUCGCAGGAAGCAAAACAACGGGAUCUUUCUAACCUCAGUUUUUCUUUACGAUUCAUAUCUGUACAUAUUCAAAUCUACGUUGA